GACGAACGCUGGCGGCGUGCUUAACACAUGCAAGUCGAACGGAAAGGCCCUGCUUUUGUGGGGUGCUCGAGUGGCGAACGGGUGAGUAACACGUGAGUAACCUGCCCUUGACUUUGGGAUAACUUCAGGAAACUGGGGCUAAUACCGGAUAGGAUCUCCUGCUGCAUGGUGGGGGUUGGAAAGUUUCGGCGGUUGGGGAUGGAUUCGCGGCUUAUCAGCUUGUUGGUGUGGUAGUGGCUUACCAAGGCUUUGACGGGUAGCCGGCCUGAGAGGGUGACCGGCCACAUUGGGACUGAGAUACGGACCAGACUCCUACGGGAGGCAGCAGUGGGGAAUAUUGCAGAAUGAGCGGAAGCCUGAUGCAGCAACGCCGCGUGCGGGAUGACGGCCUUCGGGUUGUAAACCGCUUUCGACUGUGACGAAGCGUGAGUGACGGUAAUGGGUAAAGAAGCACCGGCUAACUACGUG
rnacentral:rRNA from 1 species